UCAGCGCCGCGCUGCUGCUCCGCGGAGAGUCCCAGCCCCUUCUCUGUCACCCCCUGAAAGUUCAUUAUUCAAACGCCCGCAGACGCAUCAAGUAUUCGCAGCUCAGACUUAACCCUCGCCCCCCCCUCGCAGCCUCCCACGCUGUGAAAAACAGAGAGGCUCUACAGCAGGACUCUCGUCAACACCGAAAAUCCUGAUCCUGUUAAUCCCUGGCAUAAACCAGAGAUUCCUAGGACUAAAAUCACUUACGUGGCAUCUUCCCAUUGCAAGUGUCAAACAGUGCAGCUACAAUGGCACAUAACAUCACCUGCUAACUCCCUCCUUCCUGUAUCAGCAAUAAGGAAAUGAUAGGUAGCUAAACCAAUUCCAAAAUAUUUUGUGAAAUUACAAAUAAAACAAGGUAGCCAACGAAAUUGCUCGCUCCAUCUCGCAAUUGCUCUACUGCAACACAAUGAAAUAACAGAAACCAAAGGUCUAGGCUAGUUUUCAGGCAGCAAAGCUGAAUCAACUAGGGCCAAGCACACCAAGAGAGAAAACUGUGGCUCCUCUACUUUGUUCUUCUCUUCUUCCAUCAGCUGGGGCACCCACCAGACUCUUCCCUCAACUGAUCCAAUUCACCAGCUGAUCAGCAGAUCAACUAGGGGCCAGCGGACUUCUUUUCCCCAGCUCGUUUUCUGCCGGCUUAAUGAUUUGAGUCACCUCAGAAGAAGUCCAGUAUAUACCCAACGCACCACAACACGAGGGUGAAGGCUCAGGGAGGCAGAAACGAUCUCCUGUUUUGGCAUACGUGCUACUGAAGGGUUCAUCCUAUCCUGCAAAACAGCAGCCUGAUGAUUUCACACAAGCAAUACCACUAAAACCCUUUAACAAAUUGAUCAAGUUCCAUCUUGAGAGCAGAGCUGAGAAACUAUUCCCACUGAAAGUCCUCAACCAUUCCAAGAAGAAAACUUCUAACUUCCAACUCCAUUUAUUCAAGGACAGCUUGCACACAGUUACUGCUGUAGCACCAUCAUUGUUAACCAUCUUAGUGAAGCCUUCUGGUGAUCACCCUUCAAUGUACUUACAGGUAAAACUGACAGUUUCAGCCACGCUUUAAACUCAGCCCUCAGACAGUGACCCUUUCUACUCUGACCAAGUUAAACAUCCUCUUGCGUAUCCACUAAAGAUCACAUUCACCUUUCCUGCACGUGUCUCUGCAGAAUUUAAUCCAUGAGAUAAAGUGAUGCCACUGAUGCAUAUAAUAACAA